rnacentral:rRNA from 1 species
CAAGUCGAACGCGAAAGUCCCGCAAGGGAUUAGUAGAGUGGCAAACGGGUGAGUAACACGUGGGUGACCUGCCUUCGAGUGGGGGAUAACGUCCCGAAAGGGACGCUAAUACCGCAUGACAUCCUGCCUUUGAAGAGGUGGAGCUUAAAGCUGGGGAUCGCAAGACCUAGCGCUUGAAGAGGGGCCCGCGUCUGAUUAGCUAGUUGGUGAGGUAACGGCUCACCAAGGCAACGAUCAGUAUCCGGCCUGAGAGGGCGGACGGACACACUGGGACUGAGACACGGCCCAGACUCCUACGGGAGGCAGCAGUGGGGAAUUGUUCGCAAUGGGCGCAAGCCUGACGACGCAACGCCGCGUGGAGGAUGAAGAUCUUCGGGUCGUAAACUCCUUUCGAUCGAGACGAACGGCCCCUGGGCUAAUCACCAGGGGAGUGACGGUACCGAGAGAAGAAGCCCCGGCUAACUCCGUGCCAGCAGCCGCGGUAAUACGGGGGGGGCAAGCGUUGUUCGGAAUUACUGGGCGUAAAGGGCUCGUAGGUGGCCAACUAAGUCAUACGUGAAAUCCCUCGGCUUAACCGGGGAACUGCGUCUGAUACUGGAUGGCUUGAGGUUGGGAGAGGGAUGCGGAAUUCCAGGUGUAGCGGUGAAAUGCGUAGAUAUCUGGAGGAACACCGGUGGCGAAGGCGGCAUCCUGGACCAAUUCUGACACUGAGGAGCGAAAGCCAGGGGAGCAAACGGGAUUAGAUACCCCGGUAGUCCUGGCCCUAAACGAUGAAUGCUUGGUGUGGCGGGUAUCGAUCCCUGCCGUGCCGAAGCUAACGCAUUAAGCAUUCCGCCUGGGGGAGUACGGUCG